AGUUGUUAACGGAUACGAUAUGGAAAGGUUGAGCUGCUGUUUAUCUGUUCGUAGAGAUGCUAGAAUUCUGGAGAAUUUUAUCUUUGAAAAUCUUUAAAAUGUUGCAUGAUGAGUUCCUGUAUGAUGAGAGUUUAAAUUCCUACCACAUCCAUAUAUACAUGCUUGCUAGACCUUGAGCCACACAUUUACUAUUUACUGCUUAUGAGCAUUGAGUGUGGUCAAGCUGUGUAGACCCUUAGGAGCUUGUCAUGUGGUUAAAUCAAGAUUCACUUGCACGUUCACUCAUACAUGCUACUUCUACUCCGGAAGUACUAUCCAUUCAUUUCCAUCUCCAAAACCACCCAAAAGUAUUCUACUCCUAAUCCGGGAGAGAAUAGCCAAAAACAUUUUCCUAUCCCUGUUAUUCCCUGUGAAAUAAAUGCUCCAGUUAUUUUGGUUACUACCACUUGCUACAUUAUUUUAGGAGACGAGUGCUCUAAAAAAAAGAGAGAGAGAGAGAGAAAAAAAAUGAAUACGAGGAAAUAAAAAGGGGCAAGUGCCCGGAGCCUCGAAGAAAAAGAAAAAAAGUGAGACGAAAGGUAAAAAUGGACAAGUGUCCGACAGUAGAAUUAGGGGUACAAGGUACCCACCUGAGAGGAAAGAAAAAGAAAAUAUAGAGCAUCUCAUUAUCCUCAAAAAGCUUCAAAGUGCAAGAAAGGUAUGUAUCCCCUCAAAAGAGCAAAAGUAGAAUUAGACUUUCACCAUUGUUAUCACCAUCAUCACCAUACACCAUUCAUUCGCCACACAUGCACAUCUUGAUUUGGCUUAUUGAUUUGUUUCUUUGGAUCCAUGGUUUGACUAUGCAAUAAAUGUCUUGUAAGUAUGUAUACUUUAUCUCCCACCCAUGAGCUCCAGAUAUUAAAGCCUUAUUAGAGUAGGGUGAGAGAGAAGACAAUGUCACUAUGCUUCAUACCACAAAUAUUACAUAUCUUGAGAGAAGGCAUAUACCAUCACUGCCUUGGUAAGGAUCCAAAAAUACCACAAAAGAGAGACCUGAGAGAAUCAUACAAGGAAUUUCUGAGUUUUAUUUGAAAAUCUGCAAAAACCCCAGAGCUAUAGCUGAUCAAGAAUAAGAGACAUGGCACUUGGCUAGACUGUUCUAUCUUUUAACCACUCAAGACAGAAGUGACGGUUACAAGUCCUAUGGUGUAGGUAAAGUAAGUAAGUUUUAAGUCUUAACAGUUUAUUCUAACUCAGAGAUAAGAUCUUGCUUAAAUGCGUGUGUACUUCUAAGAAAUGAAACCACUGCAGAAACUCUUGAGUUCAUCCUUGCUCAGGGACGAGCAAGAGGUAAGCUUGGGGGAGUUUGUUGACGGUCCUUAAGUAUCAAAUUUAAUUAUCAAAUAAACAAAGAAAAGGAUCCAAAUGAAAUCAACAUCUAGACUUAGGGUUUUAUCUGACAGAAUUCCACGAGUUUUGGUGUUUGUCUAUUUCUGCAGGGGGUUAUCAGGAAAUAAGGAAGAAAGGCCCACAUGUCGGGAUUACAUAGAGAUAUCAACCCACCGCGCAAUUUUCUACCAUCUAGAAGACUCCAGAAGCCACGGGAAGGAAGCGGAGCCCGAAAGGGGCCAGGCCCAGGGCGCCCGCCCUAAGGACCUGGGCGCCCGCCCACCUCUGGACCCCGUUCCGGACUCUCUUCGCACACGACGUUCCACCGACCUAUUGGAUCCAGAAUAACAUAGUACCACCUCGCCUAUCGACCCAGAAACGCAUAGAAGGGGAGGACUAUAUAAGGAGACCCCCUCUGGCCCCUGGAGGAGACAAGAAAUUAUCAUAGAGAUUGAGGGGUGCCCUCGAAGGAAAACCUCUUCUCUAAAUAAUAUUUCUUUUUAGGCUUAGCAACCAAUGUAAAGUAGAAAUAGAUCUUCUAGUUUCUACUAGAUUGAGAGAGAUAGAGUGGAGGUGUGGAUCGGAGGAAGGCCGGCCUGUCGGUGUCUACUCCGAGUUGUACCUACGGGAUCAAGUCUCCUAACCCGAGGCUUGCUUCUAAGAUUCUUCAGUAAUUCGACUUCUAAUACUAGUAAGUUCUUGUUUUAUUGUUCUUUGGUUUAUGAGUUUACUUUAAUCCUCUUCCGGUUGAGUAUUAGAGUAAUCACUUGUUAGCGUAAACGUGGUGUUUAGGCUAGGGUACUCAUAGAUAUCCCCUGACUAGCUGGACCGUGGUAGUAGCGAGGAACGUGACAAUUCCGAGUUUCCUUUGCAGAUCACAUCUCGUUAGCAGGACGGGUAGGGUUAUAGGUGCGGGUUGAACAUCCUUUGUGUUGUCUAGAUUCCGUGAGCCUCCCCAAUAGAACAGUAGAUCAUCCUUACCAAGGUUAGAACGAGACUACGGUUGCAGUCUUCUCUAUACAUCACUCACAUCGAGAGACAUUCUUUGUAGCCUAAAGGGGUAGUAGCAAUAGAUUUGGUUAGUCAGAUGCACCCUUUCUCCCAGUGGUAAAAAUAUAAAUACGAUACUCUGGAAAACCUCCCGGGUGAAAUGCUCACCGAUAUCCGUGCACUUGCGGAUCAUUUCCUUAUUGCGUUACCAAAUAUCAUCAGGGGUUAUCAGGAAAUACGGAAGAAAGGCCCACACGUCGGGUUUACAUAGAGAUAUUAAUGUGCCGCGCAAUUUUCUAUCAUCUAGAAGACUCCAGAAGCCAUGGGACCGAAGCGGAGGCCGAGAGGGCUCAGCGACAGGGCGCCCGCCCUAGUCCUUAGGGCGCUCGCCCUCCUAUUCUGCCCAAUCAGGGUACAACUUGGGGAUCAUGCUCCACCGACCUAAAGGAUCAAGGAUAACCGUUCAAUCAAUGUCGGUUUGAUCCGACGGCCCAGAUUCACCUGAAAAGACUAUAUAAGCAAGGCCCCCUGGCCCGUAGAGAGCAUACCUCUUCUACAAAAUCAAAGCUAGGGUUUCAAUUCUUCAUCCAAGUAGAGAGGAUCCCUCUAGUUCUUCUAGUUCUACCUCUAGUUCAUCUAGUUCUAGUUCUAGUUCAUCUAGUUCUAGUUCUAGUUCCUCUAUUUCUAGUUCUAGUUAGUUCUAGUUGUAAUCUAGAAAAUAGGGAGAGAGAAGAGGAGAGCGGAGGAGGAGGAGCCGGAUCUGUCGGAUCUUCCUCAACAUUGUACUUUUGCAGCAACUGAUUCGUUCUUCAUCGUUCUCCAGGUUCUUCAAUUCACAAUUCCUGAGUUCUUUAAUUACUUUUAUUUACAUUCAAGUUAUUUAUUGGAUUCCCGCUUGCAUCAAGUGCCCUAAUCUUUGAAACGUUAGAGUAGUAAUUAAUAGAUUAGACAUGAUGUUUAGUCUUGCAAUUACGUGGAAUUGCACCCAAUCCUACGGAUUGUUGUGGUAGCCCUAGGGUAGUGACAGCCCUAACGGUCGACGUAUUCCAGUACCUCGUUCGGAUCGGUGUUUGUAGGACCGUAGUCAGAGCUUCCUAGCCCCCUUCUCAUCUCUUUCUGUGGUUAGUGUUCUGAUGUCCCGAAAUAGAUAAUCUUGAAGUAAUUCUUGAUUCUUAGAUCAACUAGAGAACUCUCAGGAAACUUCCUCUCUUCCCACCAAAAAUAAUUAUAUAGUUAUCCUUGGGCGAUCUUGGAUCUUAAUUAGUACACUCACGUUCCCUGUGGAAAAUCGAUACUCUAGAAUACUCCCAGGUGAAGGCUACAUCGGUAUCCGUGCGCUUGUGGAUUUUUCUGUUUGCGUUUAAAAUACCCAACAAGCUUUCUGGCGCCGCUGCCGGGGAACGGUAGAUGUGCUAGUUUCGAACCAAGUUGUCCGUGUAUCCUUUUUAUUUUACUUUUUUUUACCACACUCACCUUAUCAUUUUCACCACACCACAUGGAUUUCACUCUAAGCAUCAAUGAGCAUGGAAUUUAUUUCAUAGCCACUUCAUUUGCUCCUUGCUCAUAUGCAACAUCUUCCCAAUCCAUUGAUUUUUCCAACAUCACCACAUUCGAGAUCUCCAACCCCCUCAUCCUUUCUAUUUAUAAAAACUUUAAAAGGGCGGUUGUCGAUGCAUAUGUCUAUAUUAAAUAUUGCAGAUUUCGUUGAGUUGAUCUUGAUAUAGGUCAGCGUUGGAGGGGAAACCACUUCGCCGACAUAAAUUGAUGGUUUCCCAAGGACAAGCUUAGUGUCCUAAAACAAGCACUGAUCAGAUUGUAACAUGAGCUUUUAAUUAUUUGCAACAUUACCUUAUGUGUUGAGCAUAUAAGGAUAAUUGUAAAAAAUUCCUUCGGGUAUUCUUGUCACUAACCUUUUUAGGAUUGGAGCAAGAAGAUCGGAUGAAUGACAAGCACAAGGUAUGUCCAACCAAUCAUCAUACAACAUUGAAUUAAAUUCAUCCAAACUUGAAUUUUGCAAAAUUCAAGCUUGGGGAGUACUUUACAUAAAAACACCCUUUGCCAUGUUGCUAUGUUGGUUGUCCCUACCUUUGAGACAUUACUUCAUCUCCACUUGAGUAGAUCUCUAUAAAUGCUCUCAUGCUACCUUUAUUUGCUUUAGUAUAUGUCUCGGUUUGGAGUAGUUUUAUUUAUCUCUUAAUUAAGCAUGGUGCUUUGUUUAGGAAUGAUGAUCUUACUUCCAAGGGAUUUUAAAUUAAGCAUGGUGCUUAGGUUAAAAUGCCCUCCUAAAUCAAAUUAGACAUGGUGUCUAGGUUGAUUUUUGAGCCGACAGUAUGCUAUAGUAGAUAUUGGAUAUUUUGUUGGACUAACCCCUACAGGAAAACUUUCAAUAUCGACCUGGGAAGUCCUGAGAUAAACCCACAUUGGAGACAAGAAGAGAGAGACACAUGAAGUUUAACAAUUUACACAAGGAAGGCAUAGCUCACAAGAGAUGAUCCAUGGAGGGUGCCACAAACACGAUGCACAACUGCUAAGAAAGGAAAGUUUCCACAAGCUGAUACUGUACCAUCACUCUUCAAGUAAGGUAACAUCUUAUGGUACUUGACUAUCACUUUUAUAAGUUUCUCCUUGGUUCUAACGUUCACAUGAAUAAAAGAGACAAACAUGUAUGAUUUACAACUCUAGAUUAACCAACCUAGUCGAUUCAAUAUGUUUAGUCCUUCCACCUUAAUGAUCCCACACUCCUAAUCAUAUGAGCUAAAAUAUUGCACACGCAAUCUUUGGAAGAUAUAUAUAAAAAGAAAACAUAAGCAUAGAUAGAUUAUCUUUCCAUUAGGUUGAGCGAUCUGAUCUGACAAAUGUUUUAAAUGUUACACUCAUGAUCUUAUUAUCCAUCAACUUUGUCUUGCUCACUAUGCUUAAGGUUAGAGAGGACAAAUACACUUUUGGUUCUGUUGGUGUUUUCCACCAACAGGGCCCAUGCACUUGAUCUCUGCCUUGUCUCUAUGUGCAGGUACACUUCGAGCAAAAUAUAAAGGACUUUUACAACUCCUAGACGCCACCAAGUGAAGAACCUAGAUCUACGAGCACAAACACACUAGAGAUACUGGACACUCAGGCAAUCACUACCAUGAGAUGCUUGAGGACGUAACUACUGGAGUAACCCCGUUGUGGAAGUAAUUACUGACCUUCUGCCGGUCAAGAGAGACAAUCCAGGAUGCACCGUCAUCCCGAUCUCCAUCGGCAUGGUGGACUUCCCAGAAGCACUCUGCGACUUUGGCUCCAGCGUCAACAUUAUGCAUCAGGGUACUCUAUGAAAAAUUCUUUACACAUCCUUUAUUAGAAACAGCCAUGUGUGUGCAGCUUGCAGAUCGUACGCUAAGUUUCCCAAAGGGAAUAUUGAAGAACCUCUGCGUCCGAGUUGGUACCUUGUACGCCCCAACAGACUUUGUGGUGAUAGAGAUCGGUAAUGAUGAGAGGGCACCCGUCAUCCAAGGGAGGCCAUUUCUGAACACCUCGGGAGCUGUCAUCUACGCUAGUGCUGCCAAGAUCAGUUUCUACAUCAAGGUGAGGAAGGAGACAUUUUCCUUCAAGAACAAGACUACACAAAUCUCAGAGCAAUCCUGACAUGAACCAAGGAAGACGACCAACAGGACGAACAGGAACAAGCAAGUGUGGACCGAGUCAGCUAAGAUGAUCACUGCAGUUCAAGAAGGUCAAGAUCGUCGAUUUAAGUCACCGUUCUUGACUAAAAAGGAUGACCUAGGUAUGCCAAGCAUCCAGUGCUCCAUUAAUGGAUACAACUCCAGAAGAUGCUUUGCAACACCGGGUCAGGUAUCAACAUAAUGGCCGCAGUCACCUAUCAGCUCCUGUUCGGAUCCAUGCCCCUACAACCAACAUACAUUCAGCUCGAGAUGAUUAUAAGGUUAUUGACAUGGGAGAAGACGAGUACAAUCCACCCAUCACCAUUGGGAGAUCGUUCCACAGCACCGUUAAAGAAAUCAUCUACAUUGGAACCAGAGAAGGCAAAUCAUCAAGGACGAAUGGUUAAACUAUGAAGGAGAAGUUGUAAGGUCUGAAGACAUACAACUUGAACAGAACUAUCUUGAGGAGACCGUAGCACCGAGUCAGGUGUGGAGAGAGAAGAUAGUUAUACAUGAAGAGGUGGCGCCGCUGGAACCACCGACUACGCCACCCAGCGAAUCCUAGGACGACUGAGAAAACGGAGAGUCCCGUUCGGAGGACUUAGAAACACCGAACGCCUUGCCAAGAGUUAAACUUGGUAGUUAUCUUUUUCCAUUCAAUUAUUUGAAAAUAGUUUGCUUAGUUAAUCAGGUUCAUAUCAUCUUGAAAAGAAAAUAAAAAUGUUAAAAAUAGUAAGCCCCAUGUGAGUAUGCUCAUGGCAAAAAACCCACAAGUACAUUCACUAUGGUGGCGUAAAAAUGAAAUAAAUAUAUUCCUGUUCUAUAAAAAUAAAAUUAUAAAAAUAAAUGAUCCUACUAACAGAGUAACAUUUAUUGAGGAGGCUCAACAUGAUAAAGGCUAAAUAUUUAUGCUAACACUUAACUAGUUCCACAAAGCUUUGUUGUCUAUUUGAGCUCCACAGAAUUCAAGGAUCAAAGAAGACUAGCAGACGGAGGACAUCCUAAUCGCUGUCAGAGUACUGCCGACAUUCAAAUACACCUCCGCCACCUGCUAGCUACAUCAGAAGAAAUUACAUCAAAAUCCAGCUUGGGGGAGAGCACCCCCAUUUAUCCAGCUAAGUGUUCUACUCACGUUUAUACUUUACUCAAAUAAUAAAAAGAUGCAUAAUCAUAAAAACCCAAAUAAAGAUUUUGUGCUUAUAUAUAUCUUUGCUUGGUUUGCUAAAUAAAUAAAUAAAUAAAGUUUGCUAUGAACCCUCAUGAUAAGCUCUCACAUGGAAAUGAUGAAUAGUUGCUCUGCCAUGACUAGUUCUCAAAAUUGAAAUCUCUCUUAAGUUUAGGCAUCACUGUUAUGAAUUAAGAUUUGCUCUAAACCUGAACUUGUGGGAAGAGUACUUGAUCUGAAGUCUAAGUCGUUAACGGAUAUGAUAUGGGAAGGUUGAGCUGCUGUUUAUCUGUUCUUCUUAUAGAUGCUAGAAUUCUGGAGAAUUUUAUCUUUGAAAAUCUUUAAAAUGUUGCAUGAUGAGUUCCUGUAUGAUGAGAGUUUAAAUUCCUACCAUAGCCAUAUAUACAUGCUUGCUAAACUUUGAGCCACACAUUUACUUUUUACUGCUUAUGAGCAUUGAGUGUGGUCAAGCUGUGUAGACCCAUAGGAGCUUGUCAUGUGGUUAAAUCAAGAUUCACUUGCACGUUCACUCACACAUGUUGCUUCUACUCCGGAAGUAUGCAUCCACAUAUAUCCAUCCAUUCCAUCUCCAAAACCACCCAAAAAUAUUCUACUCCUAAUCCAGGAGAGAAUAGCUAAAAACAUUCUCCUAUUCAUGUUUUUCCCUGUGUAAUAAAUGCUCAAGAUAUUUUGGUUACUACCACUUGCUACAUUAUUCUAGGAGGAUGAGUGCUCUGAAAAAAAAGUGAAUAUGAGGAAAUAAAAAGGGGCAAGUGCCCGGAACCUCGAAGAAAAGAAAAAGUGAGACGAGAGGUAAAAAUGGACAAGUGUCCGAUAGUAGAAUUAGGGGUACAAGAUACCCACCUGAGAGAAAAGAAAAAUAAAAUAUAGAGCAUCUCAUUCCCCUCAAAAGCCUCAAGUGCAAGGAAGGUAUGUACCUCGUCAAAAGAGCAAAAGUAGAAUUAAGACUUUCACCAUUAUUUUCACCAUUUCACCAUUCAUUCGCCACACAUGCACAUCUUGAUUUGACUUAUUGACUUGUUCUUCUGGAUCCAUGGUUUGACUAUGUAAUAAAUGUCUUGUAAGUAUGUAUUAGCUGUCUCCCACCUAUGAGCUCCAGAUAUUAAAGCCUUAUUAGAGUAGGAUGAGAGAGAAGGCAAUGUCACUAUGCCUUAUACCACAAAUACCACAUACUUUGAGAGAAGGCAUAUACCAUUACUGCCUUGGUAAGGAUCUACAAAUACCACAAAAGAGAGACUAGAGAGAGUCAUACA
rnacentral:lncRNA from 1 species